rnacentral:lncRNA from 1 species
CUGAAAAGCACCCUAUUCUCCUGUAGCUAUUGAGAUGGUGGUGACCUCUGGCAGACAAGCUUCAGGAGUGUUCCCUUUAAUCAGACUAUACACCAAAGUCUGAUUAUGCUCUGCUUUGAUAACAUCUAUCUCAGUUCCAACUGGAAUGUCCUCUGAAACCAUGUAAGAAUAAAAUGGUUCUGAAAAUUUUGGAAGAGACACUUCUGGUGGGAGUAUUCUAGCGUAAACGGGAACAACUGACUCUUUCUGGGGGGAUCCGCCAUCAACAGCUCUAACAAAAAAGACUCGGCUUCAAUAGUAUAUGUGAUGUCUGCAUUUGUACCCUCAUCGGCAUCAGACGCCCAGACUUUAAUGACAGAAGUUCCCCGGGGAACAUCAGAUCCAAUAUUUACU